rnacentral:misc_RNA from 1 species
UGGUUCUAGCAUCGAUGAAGAACGCAGCGAAAUGCGAUAAGUAGUGUGAAUUGCAGAAUUCAGUGAAUCAUCGAAUCUUUGAACGCACAUUGCGCCCGUCGGUACUCCGGCGGGCAUGCCUGUCCGAGCGUUAUACGUCCCCAGCUCGAGUGCGCUUGCCACUCGGUCUUGGGCUGCCUCUGGGGCCUCGGCACCCAGAGGGGCCUUAAACGCAGUGUCGCGGUGGUGGACUGUUGCCCCGAGUGUUGCAUGACCCUCGCUCGGCGGCAAUGGCCCCGCGUAGUCGCCCAAUGUCGGAGGCUGCAAGGCCCGCCGUCUACAGCACGCAGUUUAACCUCGGAUCAGGUAGGAACACCCGCUGA